CCUGCCUCUCCCGGUCUCCGUCCCCUCCUCUUGCCGUGCGUGCAUGCGGCCGCUGCUGGUACUCCUGCUCGAACGUGUAGCGGUACCAGCGCCGCCAACAGGACGACGACCGGCACUGGCGCUGCCGCGUACAGGCCUACCUGAACUACCUGCCGAUGGCCGGCGUCGUUUCCUCCCCGCCGCCGCCGCCGUCGACCAGAAAGCUGAAGUACUUUCCGGAUACCCCGCCUACUAAACCGCCCGCGGUGGUGGCGUCGAACGAGCUCGUACCAAAGUAAUUCCUCAAGCUAACGGCCUCGUUGCAUGCACAUGACGUACUACGUACGCUGCAUAGACCGGAUCUAUAUUCUUAAAACGAACUCUUGACUUCCUGUUAUAAAAAAGAAUGAAUACUGAAUACAAUAGAUAGAAAUAUACAUACGAAGCAAGUGAGAUCACUUCCUGUCCGGCC
rnacentral:rRNA from 1 species